rnacentral:rRNA from 1 species
GAAUCUAGCUUCAGGUCUGGGACAACCACUGGAAACGGUGGCUAAUACCGGAUGUGCCGAGAGGUGAAAGGCUUGCUGCCUGAAGAUGAGCUCGCGUCUGAUUAGCUAGUUGGUGGGGUAAGAGCCUACCAAGGCGACGAUCAGUAGCUGGUCUGAGAGGAUGAUCAGCCACACUGGGACUGAGACACGGCCCAGACUCCUACGGGAGGCAGCAGUGGGGAAUUUUCCGCAAUGGGCGAAAGCCUGACGGAGCAAUACCGCGUGAGGGAGGAAGGCUCUUGGGUUGUAAACCUCUUUUCUCAGGGAAGAAUUCAAUGACGGUACCUGAGGAAUAAGCAUCGGCUAACUCCGUGCCAGCAGCCGCGGUAAUACGGAGGAUGCAAGCGUUAUCCGGAAUGAUUGGGCGUAAAGCGUCCGCAGGUGGCUAUGAAAGUCUGCUGUUAAAGAGCAAGGCUCAACCUUGUAAAGGCAGUGGAAACUACAUGGCUAGAGUGCGUUCGGGGCAGAGGGAAUUCCUGGUGUAGCGGUGAAAUGCGUAGAGAUCAGGAAGAACACCGGUGGCGAAAGCGCUCUGCUAGGCCGCAACU